rnacentral:rRNA from 1 species
GAUGAACGCUGGCGGCGUGCCUAAUACAUGCAAGUCGAGCGAACAGACGAGGAGCUUGCUCCUCUGACGUUAGCGGCGGACGGGUGAGUAACACGUGGAUAACCUACCUAUAAGACUGGGAUAACUUCGGGAAACCGGAGCUAAUACCGGAUAAUAUAUUGAACCGCAUGGUUCAAUAGUGAAAGACGGUUUUGCUGUCACUUAUAGAUGGAUCCGCGCCGCAUUAGCUAGUUGGUAAGGUAACGGCUUACCAAGGCAACGAUGCGUAGCCGACCUGAGAGGGUGAUCGGCCACGCUGGAACUGAGACACGGUCCAGACUCCUACGGGAGGCAGCAGUAGGGAAUCUUCCGCAAUGGGCGAAAGCCUGACGGAGCAACGCCGCGUGAGUGAUGAAGGUCUUCGGAUCGUAAAACUCUGUUAUUAGGGAAGAACAAAUGUGUAAGUAACUAUGCACGUCUUGACGGUACCUAAUCAGAAAGCCACGGCUAACUACGUG